rnacentral:rRNA from 1 species
AGUCGUACAAGGUUUCCGUAGGUGAACCUGCGGAAGGAUCAUUACUGAAAUACGUAAUCCUGAAAGGUAAUGGAAGGGGAGGCCGAAAAAGCCGCCCAACCUACCUUCACACCCUUGUGUAUCUACCACGUUGCUUUGGCGGGCCGACCCGGUUUUGACCCGGGCGGUCGGUGCCCCCAGCCUAGUUUAUGGGCCAGGACGCCUGGCUAAGUGCCCGCCAGUAUACAAAACUCAAGCGAUUAUUUUGUGUAGUCCUGAGAAUUCAUUUAAUGAAGUAAAACUUUCAACAACGGAUCUCUUGGUUCUGGCAUCGAUGAAGAACGCAGCGAAAUGCGAUAAGUAAUGUGAAUUGCAGAAUUCAGUGAAUCAUCGAAUCUUUGAACGCACAUUGCGCCCCCUGGCAUUCCGGGGGGCAUGCCUGUUCGAGCGUCAUUUCAACCCUCAAGCUCUGCUUGGUAUUGGGCGACGUCCGCUGCCGGACGCGCCUGGAAGACCUCGGCGACGGCGUCUCAGCCUCGAGCGUAGUAGUAAAAUAUCUCGCUUUGGAGGAGGGAGGCGCUGGCCGCCGGACAAUCGACCUUCGGUCACUAUUUUUCCAAGGUUGACCUCGGAUCAGGUAGGGAUACCCGUGAACUAAGCAUAUCAAU